CCUACGGGAGGCAGCAGUGAGGAAUAUUGGUCAAUGGUCGGGAGACUGAACCAGCCAAGCCGCGUGAGGGAUGAAGGUACAGAGUAUCGUAAACCUCUUUUGUCAGGGAACAAAGGCGGGGACGUGUCCCCGGCUGAGCGUACCUGACGAAAAAGCAUCGGCUAACUCCGUGCCAGCAGCCGCGGUAAUACGGGGGAUGCGAGCGUUAUCUGGAUUUAUUGGGUUAAAGGGGUGCGCAGGCGGUCUGUAAAGUCAGCGGGCAAACCCCGGGGCUCAACCCCGACCCGCCGUUGAAACUGGCAGUCUCGAGUUGGAGAGAGGUAUGCGGAAUGCGCGGUGUAGCGGUGAAAUGCAUAGAUAUCGCGCAGAACUCCGAUUGCGAAGGCAGCAUGCCGGCUCCACACUGACGCUGAGGCACGAAAGCGUGGGUAUCGAACAGGAUUAGAUACCCGAGUAGUC
rnacentral:rRNA from 1 species